UACGUAGGGUGCAAGCGUUGUUCGGAGUUACUGGGCGUAAAGGGUGUGUAGGCGGUUGGUUAAGUUUGGUGUGAAAUCUCCCGGCUCAACUGGGAGGGUGCGCCGAAUACUGAAUGACUAGAGUGUGGGAGAGGUGAGUGGAAUUCCUGGUGUAGCGGUGAAAUGCGUAGAUAUCAGGAGGAACACCGGUGGUGUAGACGGCUCACUGGACCAUAACUGACGCUGAGACACGAAAGCGUGGGUAGCAAACAGG
rnacentral:rRNA from 1 species